GUCCACGCCGUAAACGAUGAAUACUAGGUGUUGGGGACAAAGUCCUUCGGUGCCGUCGCAAACGCAAUAAGUAUUCCACCUGGGGAGUACGUUCGCAAGAAUGAAACUCAAAGGAAUUGACGGGGACCCGCACAAGCGGUGGAGCAUGUGGUUUUAAUUCGAAGCAACGCGAAGAACCUUACCAAAUCUUGACAUCCCUCUGACCGGCGAGUAAUGUCGCUUUUCCUUCGGGACAGAGGAGACAGGUGGUGCAUGGUUGUCGU
rnacentral:rRNA from 1 species